GAACGCGUGGCGGCGUGGCUUAGGCAUGACAAGUCGAGCGACGAAAGUACCUUCGGGUAUGAGUAGAGCGGACGUAAGGGUGAGUAAUGUAUAGGCAACGUACCCCGUUGGACCGGGAUAGCUGACGGGAAACUGCAGGUAAUACCGGAGUGGUCAAGCGAUGGUGGCAUCACGAUGCUUGUAAACGGUUGGAUACUUCUGCCGAGGGAGCGGCCUAUGCCCUAUUAGCUAGUUGGUGAGGUAAUGGCUCACCAAGGCAACGAUGGGUAGCCGGACUGAGAGGUUGGCCGGUCACACUGGGACUGAGACACUGCCCAGACUCCUACGGGAGGCUGCAGUCGAGAAUCUUCCGCAAUGGACGCAAGUCUGACGGGGCGACGCCGCGUGUAGGAUGAAGGCCCUCGGGUUGUAAACUACUGUUGCGCACUAGGAAAAGUGUGAGGUUAAUAGCCUUGCACCUGACCAAUGCGUGAGGAAGCACUGGCUAACUCCGUG
rnacentral:rRNA from 1 species